rnacentral:lncRNA from 1 species
UGGUCAUACCCCAAGAGGCCUUCAGGUGUGGUUGGUAGCGAAGGAGGGGCCUCUUUGCCUCAGGUGGAACAGCUUUGCAGUGGCAGUCAUGCUCUGUGGCUGCCCGUGGGAUCAGGCUGAGUUUUCUCUGUCCUCCAGAAAUCUUUAUGAGUAGCUGCUCAAAAGGAUGGGAAGCACUUGGCGUAAUAGUCCUAAGAAAAUCAUCCUGUCUCAACCAGAGCUUGAUCUUCUGCCUGCUGCUCUCAGGCUUGAUCAUGAGACUUGCUUUGGCCAACAACCUGCGAGUGGAGGUGAUGUUUGCUGUUUCUGGGCAGAAGCUCUAAGAGCUAGCCCAUAGUUCUCCACGUCCUCUCCCUGCAUCUGUCUUUGUUAGGAUGUCAGCUUGGGUUCUCAGUGAUUCAAAGCUGGUUGUUGACCCAGGAUGGAUGUGCACGAUUUUUAUUGUAUUCUUGCACAGAGAGUACAAGAGCAAUAUCAAGAAACACACAGCUCUAAGAUUCAUAAGUUGAACUCCAGCCCCCAGCCUGGCCGCGUUUGGAGAUGGGAAUUCUUAGGAAGUUAAGUGAGCUCUAAGGGUGGGGUCCCCGCCUCAUAGGAAUAGUGUCUUCUACGAGGAGACACCAGAGGGCGCUCUCGAUGCUCCCACUCCGAGGAAAGGCCAGGGGAGGACCCAGCGAGAAGGUGACCGGCGGCCUGCAAGGGGAAAGAGCCCUCAUCAGGAAUUGCAUCAGCCAGCACCUUGAUCUUGGACUUCUAGCCUUCAGAACUAUGAGGAAAUGAAUUUCUGCUGUUUAUGUCACUCGAUCUACACUGUGAGAGCUUUCUGUUUUUCAGAAUGCAAUUCAUACAAAAGGAAGUAUUUCAGAGAAGACUAUCAUGACUUUUUUUUGGCCAAGCCUGUGGAAGUUCCUUGGCCAGCAGUAGCCCUGUGAUCAGUGACAAAGCCAAGUCCUUAACCUCUAGGGCACCAGGGUUUAUGGUGAAACUGGAGCAGUGAAUUCUGGUGGAAUUACUUGGGAAUACAGGCAUAUGCAUGACAGUCUGGGGAAGCCAUGUUUGUGUUGUUCGAGGUGAAGAAUUAUCAUCAAUAUGCUGCUUACAUCAUAGGCUGUCCAGUGAAGAUGAAGUUUCCAACAAGGGCCUAGAAGCUCAUGAGCAUAAAGUGCUGGUGCCCUCUCAGGAAGGCUGUGAGCUGGAAGUCACUGUAUCCAUGGAGUGUGGAAAAUUCCAUCCUGAUAUGAGCCUGCAAUACCCUCCAGGGAACUAAUCUAAGAAGCUUGGCAGGUGGGGCAGGAACUCUUAGGUGGGGGUGGUUUCUCUGUGGGGCAAGUGACAGAGUCAUGGUCAGGGAGGCCCUUCUGGUAAGAGAAGUGUCAUGGUUACGGUGACUCUGAGUGUAAGAUGUGUUGGCAAAUGGAAGAGAGAAUGGCUGGAUUAAGAACUAGCUGGGUUGAAACUAGGGGAAAUUGAUUGGGAUGAAAGGGUUGGCCUCCCCUUUAGAAAGGGGCUAAAAGUCCAAAUCACCAGGGCUACAAAGACAUGGCAGACUUUAAUCUACUCUUUCCCCAAGGGCCCAAAAGCUCUAAGGAGGGCUUGUCUAGGGUCCUGGCCCAAAACACAUCAGACCUCCCUGGAUGUCCUGAACCGGCACCUAUAGGAGAAGGGCUUGAGAUUCUUUGGGUUUUUUUGUUUGUUUGUUUUGUUUUGUUUGGUCUUUUUAGGGCCACACCCCAGGCUAGGAGUCUAAUCGUAGCUACAGCUGCUGUCAACGGAGGAUCCGAGCUGUGUCUACAACCUACACCACAGCUCACAGCAAUGCCGAAUCCUUAACCCACUAAGCAAGGCCAGAGAUCGAAUCCACAACCUCAUGGUUCCUAGUCAAAUUCAUUUCUGCUGCGCCAUGACCGGAACUCCGGAUUCUGUGUUUUUAAUGAAUGCACCUGAGGAAUUUUUAUGAUGGUAAGUUUGGUAAACACUGCUUUAGUCCCGCCCAGGUUGGGAUCAGAAUUCUCUUACCCAAAAGGCUGGGCAAGAUUGAGAAGCAGGGCUUCUGGUUUCAGAGGGACAUACAAGCAGUCUGUUAGGAGGCAUCCUGGAGCUAGGAUGCUGUCUGGGGGAGCGGGCUGCCACUUCCUGGGUGCUGGAUUUAGAGGACUGAGGUGUUCACAGUGAGGCUCCGGUGCUCAUGGGAACCGAGGUGACCCUGAGGGAGAGAAUGGCAGUCACGCAUCCCAGCCACAGGUGAGGGCUCUUGACGCAAACGGAAGAUUUAGGCUGGGUAGGAUUCCUAUCUCAUGGCCCAGGGAGGCUGUGGGGAAAGGCCGCUCACUCGUGGGUCAACAGCAGGGGGCGUCUCUCCUGAAAAGGAUCUUGUUCUUGGAUGGUAACCACUGGGGUGAACGGACGGUCCUUAGGAAACCAGAGCUCACCACGGAGACUAGACAGGCAGCGAGGUAACCAGUGUGUUUCAAGCCUUUCUCGUUGGGGUCCAGAUGCGAAAGGAGCUGGUGUCCUUGAAGUUCACGGUCUUGAGUUCAUCAGGGUGGCGGUGGGUGUGCCCUGGGAUAGCUGUCCCUAAGAAGAAGGGAGGACCUGAGCCGGGUGGCGCCGAGGAGCCCCUUCCCGAGGAGCCCCUUCCCACCUGGGAGCCCGCCGCCCUGGAGGGUGCCCUUGGGGUGGAUCUUCCUCAGGUGAGACCAGAGCAGGCAGGUCGAGGUGGGCGUGAGAUGUAAGGGAAUGAUUGGUUGUUUGAUCGGCCCAGAGUGGGACUUAUUGGACCGAGAGGUAAUGCUUUUGGCUCUGAUGGUUCCUAGAAACGGAAUGUUUGUGGCCCCACCGGCCCCCUAUUCAUAGUUUGAAACCUAAUCCCCAAUGUGAAGGUGUUUGGAGGCCCUGGGAGGCGAUUAGGGCAUCAGGGUGGGGCCGAUGCGGAUGGAUUCGUGCCCUUGUAAGCGGAGGAAGAGUCGGAGUUCUCCCAUCGCUGCCUGAGGACGAGGCAAGAACACGGGCUCAGGGAACAGUGAGCUGGCCCUCACCAGACUCAGAAUCUGCUUGAUCCUGGACUUUCCAGCCUCUAGGACUGUGAGAAAUAAAUGUCUGCUGUUU